GCCCAGUCAAGACGAUCUGAUCGAUAAUCAAGAUCUAUUUUGUGAUAAAACAGGUCUUACAUAGCAAAGUGCAUCAAAUCACGUGAUCACCUUAAUUAAAAAGAUUUGGAAAAUAUCUGUUAACAACGAGUUGGCUGUGCAAAUGAUUUGCAAAUCCUGCAAUCAACCGAAAUCUGCAUGACAGUUUACAAACCGGAAUUUGAUUUCGAAUGUGAUUGGACUAUGCAUAGACUCGUUAGUCCAGCCAAAAUCUAACUCCAUAAUACCAGCCUAGUUCGGCAAGCGUGGAAACUGGACUUUUAUAGUCAGUUAACUCACUUGCCUCGGGAAGAUGAGUAGGACCAGUCUCAGAUAUACCUCCAGCAUGUUCCUGUCUUCAACACAUCUCACUAACCAUGUCCUGCUGGGUCAAACAUCUCCACAGCAUCUCUGGUAGGAAGGCAACAGACAUUACAAUCAGAAGUGUGUUCAAGUUUUUUUCUGGAUGGAAGGAAUGCCAGUCUGAAGAAACAUGGAUCAAUGCAGAGAGAUGAACUCACUUAGGACGUUUUAUGAGUUCUGUAUUGAUGUCACAAAGUAUUUGUAGCAUUGGGCCACGAUUCAUCUGUCUGUGAUUGAAGAGGUGCAGUACCACAACUGCUUUGUGAAAUGUUGCCACAGAAUAGCAAGGCUCUACUUCAUCUUCUUUCCUUCUUUGAUGUUUGUUGAAGCAUGCAGUUAUCUAAUGUUCAUCAUGUUCAUAAAUCUUUAUCCGCGUCUGAGAUUAAGGGGCCAUUGUAGGGCCCAGACUGACGAGAAAUGGUCGACCUCCGAGUGACCCUGAUCAUCCAGUGUAGUACGUGUAACUUCUGUACAAGAUUGCAAUGAACAUAUGUUCAUUAUGUUCAUUAAUCCUUCCCUUCAUCCACGACACAAGUAACGUGACCAAUAGGAUCACUUGAACCCCUUCCUCCUGCUCAAGGUCAUAAUUUGAUUGGACAAUAUUUUUAGCAAUGUGUCAUACUGUUCUUGCUCAAGACCAAUUGAGUGAGUUUGGUUUUACGCCACUUUUAGCAAUAUACCAGCAAUAUCACGGCGGGGUCACCAGAAAUGGGCUUCACACAUUAUACCCAUGUCGGGAAUUGAACCUGGGUCUUCGGUGUGAGGAGCAAACGCUCUAACCUCUAUGCUACCCGACCGCCCCUCAAUACCAAGCUGUGGUAGUGAUUGAGUGCAGGGUAUUUAUCCUAAUGGAAUGAAGACAUCAUGAUCUGGAUAAUCAGGGUACUUACUUGUUAGACAUGAUUAGAAGCCUAUGAACAAAACAGCUGACUACAACACUUUAGAAGUCAACCGUCUCGCUUGACUGAUAUUGUUGACUGUUCAAUUUAUUGAUGCAAUAAAGAUCAGAUAUUAUUGUAAUAAGGCAGGUUCACAAUAAACUUUUUGACAAUUGUGGCUCUUAUACAGGGUGUUCCUGUAUUCAGGUUUUUGUGUCAGUGUCAUGUCAUUCUAUUGCCAAAGUGAUUACAUGGAGUGCCAAGACUUGAUAUACCAAUCCGUCAACUCACAAAAAUUUAAAUGUUACAAAGUAAAUGAAAAACAGUGUUUUUGUUAUGCUGCAAACCAGAAUUAAGUAAAAUGUUAAAAACACUGUUCUUUACUGUUGUUAUAAAUAUAAAUAAACUAUUUAAAAUAUUAUUAUUAUCACUUGAAAAUUUAUCUUAAAAUCACAAUGAAAUAUAAUGAGAGGAAAUAUAAAAAAUGUAUUUGAAAUUGGACUUGACUCACCCUCCAAACAUUGACCAGAUGUGGGCCAAAAAUUCAUGACCCCCUCAAAACGAGUGUUGCCUAACUUCUUUAAUCGAAGUGUCAUGAAGGCUGGGACACGUCAUGGCUUUGACUUGUUUGACUUUGUUCUAGAAUAUGAACAAUUGGUCUAAUAACUUUUUGGUGAAAUAUAUUAAAUAUGAGUGUCUUUAUUGUCAUUUUUUAUUUUAAAUUUUGUGACUUCUAUGUUAUAUGUGCUCAAUGUUUCAAGGGCAGAAGUACUGGUCAUCUCCUGAUGAAGGGGCAAGAAGGAGCCCUGAAACAUUUGUAUGUACAGUGCAGCAAAACAAGUUGCUGUCUACAGUAUACAUGGUCAUGUGCACCAAAUACGUCUUUAAUAAAUCACAAUUCUUUGAAAUCAAGUGAAGCGUGACCAUGUCACAAGGUGUCAGUCAUACAAUCAUGUCACAAGGUGUUGAUCAUACAAUUUUGUCACAAGGUGUCGAGCGUACAAUUAUGUUGAAAGGUGUCGAUCGUAUAAUUAUGUCACAAGGUGUCGAUCAUACAAUUAUGUCACAAGGUGUCGAUCGUACAAUUAUGUCACAAGGUGUUGAUCAUACAAUUAUGUCACAAGGUGUUGAUCAUACAAUUAUGUCACAAGGUGUCGAUCGUACAAUUAUGUCACAAGGUAUUUCUUCUGAGCUCAUGUUAUCCAUGUGGACAAGAUGUAUUUUCUAAUGUUAUUGAUUUUGACACUUUUACUUUUUUUCUAGAUUUGCCCAGUUAUAUUUACCCAUAUUUCUAGAUUUUUACGUUGUCAGUAGGCAUGUUGUUUACUGUUGUUGUUGUUUUUAUCACCUGAAUCUUAUCCAGGUUGUCCGAGUUUGUUGGUUAGUAUGUCUAGUGACCAGUAUUGUAACUUAUCUGCACUGAUAUCGCAGCAACAGGUGCUUUGUGGUAUUCUCUUUAGAUUUAGUAGAAAAUCUGAUCCUUGUUUAAGUAGAAAAUGUGAUCCUAGUUUAAGUAGAAAAUGUGAUCCUAGUUCAAGUAGAAAAUGUGAUCCUAGUUCAAGUAGAAAAUGUGAUCCUAGUUCAAGUAGAAAAUGUGAUCCUAGUUUAAGUAGAAAAUGUGAUCCUGGAUUAAGUAGAAAAUGUGAUGUUAGUUCAGGUAUACAAUGACAUAUACAGUAGAACACGAAUAGAAUGAAGACAAGGUUACAACAACCAACUGUUACACUUCCCCAGUUUAUCUCCUGUGUAUCAUCAUAUAAAAUACACGUAUAACAAACUCUACAGCAAACUGACGUCUACAGCAAACAGAUAUUUCAUCCCCGACAAGCCCCAAUACCAUUAAUUAGUGAUGUGUAGAGCGAACUGAGAAAUCUUGCUCUCUGUCAUUUAGUGUCUCUUACAACUGGUAAUUCACAAUCAGUAGCGAAUCAACACAAUCAGUGGUGACGAUUCAACCUUGUUGAAUGUGUUUUAUGUUAAUCUUGCCUGCAAUUGGACAAAUCUUGUCUGUAAAAUAGAGUCUAUUUCAUAGACAUUAAACAUAUACAGUUCGUUUCAAGGCGUCAAUAGCAGUAUUCUGACCGUGGUUGCUGUUAAUAACGGUGAGUUGUGCGAUCUUCCGAUCGCUUCACACACGAUUUCGCCGAAAUUAAUAAAAACAAUAUUAAAACGAAUUUUGAAUAAAAUUAAUGAAAAAAGUUACAAACAUAAGUCCAUAUAUACAAAGAACACUUUUUAUAGCCAGACAGUGUAAUUACAUGAAUAAUUUGCGAACUUCAGUAUGGAUUUGUUGACAUGGUAUUUCCGGUGUUUCGUGCUCACGGUAAUGUCUUUCCAUGGGGGAAAAAAACAUCCAAACUCAUAAUUCGUGUAUAAUGCGCACCCCCUUCUACACAGCUGUGUUUUUUGGAAAAAAAGUGUGCACUAUACUCAAGAAAAUACGGUACAUUUCAUGAGAUUGUCCGAGAGAAAAUCUAAAUAAUGAGCAAGGUGUAAGAAACUUGAUAUCUCCGCUCCCUCAUAGUUCGUAAUGUCCACGAUCUGCUGUAUUUGAGUUUUCAUCAAACCCUUGUCCUUUUUAGAAUCUGUCCAAGACAAGGGGGGAACAUACCGGCAAGGAGGUUUGCUGCAGUUACAAUGGGGAUGUUGUAGAGUUUCCAGUGUCAGAACCUGGACCUACAGCUGGAGGGAUUUAAUAGAGUAAAAGAGAUUUAAGAGAAAUAGAUUUAGUGAACAAAUACUCAAUAACUAUCUCAGCGCUGUGAUUGGUAAGUCUGUGUUUGAGUUACCAUGGUUACAAUCAUGGCGGAGAUUGGUCUGUGGAAUAGGACCAGGGUCACCUCAGUUUAUUAAUAUGAUAUGUAUUCAUCAAGCUGUGACAUGGAUUUCAAACAUUUAUUCCCAGGAAAGAGAUAUAGAUCUUGUAGCCCAUCUGUUGUAACUGUUAAUGAACCAAACACAACUAGCUGAUACCCAUUAUGCAUGGUACUUCCUUUUGUCUUUCCUUUCAAUUACAGACUCAGGCCUUGUGAGCAGGUAGUAGUUACUUAUGUUAAAAUGGCCAUUCUGUUUUAUGCUGGAUAGAAAACAUUAUGCAAAACAUAUGCAAAUAUAAUUCAGAGAGAAUUAUUCUGCGGAGAUAAAAAUGCAAAUCUUGUUACAAGCCUGUCAUCACCACAUAAUAAAGUUCUCUGUCUGUUCA